UACGUAGGGGGCAAGCGUUGUCCGGAAUCAUUGGGCGUAAAGCGCGUGUAGGCGGCCCGGUAAGUCCGCUGUGAAAGUCGGGGCUCAACCCUCGAAUGCCGGUGGAUACUGUCGGGCUAGGGUGCGGGAGAGGCGAGUGGAAUUCCUGGUGUAGCGGUGAAAUGCGCAGAUAUCAGGAGGAACACCAAUUGCGAAGGCAGCUCGCUGGAACGUAACUGACGCUGAGACGCGAAAGCGUGGGGAGCAAACAGG
rnacentral:rRNA from 1 species